AGAGUUUGAUCCUGGCUCAGAAUGAACGCUGGCGGCGUGCUUAACACAUGCAAGUCGAACGAGAAAGGGAUUGCUUGCAGUCCCGAGUAGAGUGGCGCACGGGUGAGUAACACGUAGAUAAUCUGCCUUCAAGCCUGGGAUAACUAUUCGAAAGGGUAGCUAAUACCGGAUAAAGUCGAUCUACACAAGUAGAUUGAUGAAAGAUUGCCUCUUCUUGAAAGCAAUUGUUUGGAGAUGAGUUUGCGUACCAUUAGCUUGUUGGUGGGGUAAAGGCCUACCAGGGCAACGAUGGUUAGCUGGUCUGAGAGGAUGAUCAGCCACACUGGAACUGGAACACGGUCCAGACUCCUACGGGAGGCAGCAGUGAGGAAUUUUGCGCAAUGGGGGCAACCCUGACGCAGCAACGCCGCGUGAGUGAAGAAGGCCUUUGGGUCGUAAAGCUCUGUCAACAGGGAAGAAGUUACAAUUGUUUAAUAGAUGGUUGUAUUGACGGUACCUGUGGAGGAAGCGCCGGCUAACUCCGUGCCAGCAGCCGCGGUAAUACGGGGGGCGCAAGCGUUAUUCGGAAUUAUUGGGCGUAAAGGGCGCGCAGGCGGUCUUGUCCGUCAGGUGUGAAAGCUCGGGGCUCAACCCCGGAAGUGCACUUGAAACAGCAAGACUUGAAUACGGGAGAGGAAAGCGGAAUUCCUGGUGUAGAGGUGGAAUUCGUAGAUAUCAGGAGGAACACCGAUGGCGAAGGCAGCUUUCUGGACCGAUAUUGACGCUGAGGCGCGAAGGCGUGGGUAGCAAACGGGAUUAGAUACCCUGGUAGUCG
rnacentral:rRNA from 1 species